AGAGUUUGAUCCUGGCUCAGAUUGAACGCUGGCGGCAGGCCUAACACAUGCAAGUCGAGCGGAUGAAGGGAGCUUGCUCCUGGAUUCAGCGGCGGACGGGUGAGUAAUGCCUAGGAAUCUGCCUGGUAGUGGGGGAUAACGUCCGGAAACGGGCGCUAAUACCGCAUACGUCCUGAGGGAGAAAGUGGGGGAUCUUCGGACCUCACGCUAUCAGAUGAGCCUAGGUCGGAUUAGCUAGUUGGUGGGGUAAAGGCCUACCAAGGCGACGAUCCGUAACUGGUCUGAGAGGAUGAUCAGUCACACUGGAACUGAGACACGGUCCAGACUCCUACGGGAGGCAGCAGUGGGGAAUAUUGGACAAUGGGCGAAAGCCUGAUCCAGCCAUGCCGCGUGUGUGAAGAAGGUCUUCGGAUUGUAAAGCACUUUAAGUUGGGAGGAAGGGCAGUAAGUUAAUACCUUGCUGUUUUGACGUUACCAACAGAAUAAGCACCGGCUAACUUCGUGCCAGCAGCCGCGGUAAUACGAAGGGUGCAAGCGUUAAUCGGAAUUACUGGGCGUAAAGCGCGCGUAGGUGGUUCAGCAAGUUGGAUGUGAAAUCCCCGGGCUCAACCUGGGAACUGCAUCCAAAACUACUGAGCUAGAGUACGGUAGAGGGUGGUGGAAUUUCCUGUGUAGCGGUGAAAUGCGUAGAUAUAGGAAGGAACACCAGUGGCGAARGCGACCACCUGGACUGAUACUGACACUGAGGUGCGAAAGCGUGGGAGCAAACAGGAUUAGAUACCCUGGUAGUCACGCCGUAAACGAUGUCGACUAGCCGUUGGGAUCCUUGAGAUCUUAGUGGCGCAGCUAACGCGAUAAGUCGACCGCCUGGGGAGUACGGCCGCAAGGUUAAAACUCAAAUGAAUUGACGGGGGCCCGCACAAGCGGUGGAGCAUGUGGUUUAAUUCGAAGCAACGCGAAGAACCUUACCUGGCCUUGACAUGCUGAGAACUUUCCAGAGAUGGAUUGGUGCCUUCGGGAACUCAGACACAGGUGCUGCAUGGCUGUCGUCAGCUCGUGUCGUGAGAUGUUGGGUUAAGUCCCGUAACGAGCGCAACCCUUGUCCUUAGUUACCAGCACCUCGGGUGGGCACUCUAAGGAGACUGCCGGUGACAAACCGGAGGAAGGUGGGGAUGACGUCAAGUCAUCAUGGCCCUUACGGCCAGGGCUACACACGUGCUACAAUGGUCGGUACAAAGGGUUGCCAAGCCGCGAGGUGGAGCUAAUCCCAUAAAACCGAUCGUAGUCCGGAUCGCAGUCUGCAACUCGACUGCGUGAAGUCGGAAUCGCUAGUAAUCGUGAAUCAGAAUGUCACGGUGAAUACGUUCCCGGGCCUUGUACACACCGCCCGUCACACCAUGGGAGUGGGUUGCUCCAGAAGUAGCUAGUCUAACCGCAAGGGGGACGGUUACCACGGAGUGAUUCAUGACUGGGGUGAAGUCGUAACAAGGUAACC
rnacentral:rRNA from 1 species